UCCGCCGCGAGGCGGAAUCUGAAGGAAGCAGCAGGCAAACUCCUGGCCCGAGGAACACGAACCGUAUACGAGGCGUUGGUUGGAUGGGCGAGAAGGCCGAAAGAUUCAAAGCCCGAUGUCAUCCGGAUCGAACUGGCGUAAAUGCGGCGGGUAUGUGGGAGGAAAGUCACGCGU
rnacentral:ncRNA from 1 species